CUUAACACCUCCACUAACUGUCUGACUAAUGGAGUGACUCAAUUAUAUGUUUUACAAAAGGUCGGGUACGUCAAUGAAAAAUUUAAAAGGUCUAGUACUAAUUUGAAACGAACCCUAACGAUUGGGUACUUUUAUAUAGUUAAUCCAAUAAACUAACAUGGGAAAAAAUUUAUGCAAUUAAAUACAAUUUGGAUAAAUAAACAUGGCUCCACUAUUGGCCAUAUUAUAGCUGCCCCAAUCUAAAAUAAACUAGAAUGAGGAUACAAACAUUUUGCUCUCUUUCAUAUUUCCUCGCUAAAUAAUCUACUAACAAGAAUUUUUAGAUAAAUAAAAGAAUUUCUAGUCCCUAUUAGCGAU
rnacentral:lncRNA from 1 species